rnacentral:rRNA from 1 species
AGUGAACGCUGGCGGCGUGCCUAAUACAUGCAAGUCGAACGGAAUUUAAAAGAGCUUGCUCUUUUAAAUUUAGUGGCGCACGGGUGAGUAAUAUAUAGCUAAUCUGCCCCUUGCUGGAGGACAACAGUUAGAAAUGACUGCUAAUACUCCAUACUCCUUUUUACCAUAAGAUAAAUCGGGAAAGAAUUUCGGCAAGGGAUGAGACUAUAUCGUAUCAGCUAGUCGGUGGGGUAACGGCCUACCGAGGCUAUGACGCGUAACUGGUCUGAGAGGAUGAUCAGUCACAUUGGAACUGAGACACGGUCCAAACUCCUACGGGAGGCAGCAGUAGGGAAUAUUGCGCAAUGGGGGAAACCCUGACGCAGCAACGCCGCGUGGAGGAUGACACUUUUCGGAGCGUAAACUCCUUCUGUUGGGGAAGAAUAAUGACGGACCUAACGAAUAAGCCCG